rnacentral:rRNA from 1 species
CAGUCGCCGCGGGAAUACGUAGGUGGCGAGCGUUGUCCGGAAUCAUUGGGCGUAAAGGGAGCGCAGGCGGGCAUGUAAGUCUUUCUUAAAAGUUCGGGGCUCAACCCCGUGGUGGGAAAGAAACUACAUGUCUUGAGUACAGGAGAGGAAAGCGGAAUUCCCAGUGUAGCGGUGAAAUGCGUAGAUAUUGGGAGGAACACCAGUGGCGAAGGCGGCUUUCUGGACGGCAACUGACGCUGAGGCUCGAAAGCCAGGGGAGCGAACGGGAUUAGAUACCCCCGUAGUCCCUGUCUCUUAUACA